rnacentral:lncRNA from 1 species
GGUCACGAAGAGCUUGGGUGAUGGUGCUGGGCUCAAGUGGAGAAGAGGGUUAGACAUGGAGGUUAAGCUUCUUGAGGGGUUUGACAAUGUUGUUUUUGGACCGGGUGAUGAUGCCACCUCCAUCGGUUUAUCCUGUUAGGGUUGACAUUGGGUUGGGAUGGUGGCAUGGAACAUUGUGAGGAUGAAGGUGAUGAGGGGAUUCAGAGUGUCUAGUGGAGGGUUGGGUCGAAGUCGGGGAGUUGGGGAAAGAUGAAAAUGAAGGGGCAGUCGAGAUUUCCUCUGGUGGGUUUAGAGUGGUACUGAGCAUGGGUUGGUUUAUGGGAUGAAGUAUGGAAAGCUGAAGUGGGCCUUGUUGUUGCUCCACACUCAAAUUGGCUUGAGGUGCUAAGGAGUUAUACGAGAAUUCAGAUUCGACGAACUUGACAUGGUGAGAGGUGUAGAUCCUUCCCGUGGUUGGAUCGAGACACAAGUAUGCAUGUUGAUCCGUUG